rnacentral:rRNA from 1 species
AUUGAACGCUGGCGGCAGGCCUAACACAUGCAAGUCGAACGAGUGGCGGACGGGUGAGUAAUGUCUGGGAAACUGCCUGAUGGAGGGGGAUAACUACUGGAAACGGUAGCUAAUACCGCAUACCAUUAGAGGGGCCGAGAUGGGAUUAGCUAGUUGGUGGGGUAACGGCUCACCAAGGCGACGAUCCCUAGCUGGUCUGAGAGGAUGACCAGCCACACUGGAACUGAGACACGGUCCAGACUCCUACGGGAGGCAGCAGUGGGGAAUAUUGCACAAUGGGCGAAAGCCUGAUGCAGCCAUGCCGCGUGUAUGAAGAAGGCCUUCGGGUUGUAAAGUACUUUCAGCGGGGAGGCGGUACCCGCAGAAUAAGCACCGGCUAACUCCGUGCCAGCAGCCGCGGUAAUAC